GACGAACGCUGGCGGCGUGCCUAAUACAUGCAAGUAGGACGCAGUUGCGAACGGGUGAGUAACGCGUAGGUAACUGACUAUUAGAGGGGGAUAACUAUUGGAAACGAUAGCUAAUACCGCAUACUAGUAGAUGGACCUGCGUGUUAUUAGCUAGUAGGUAGGGUAAUGGCAUACCUAGGCAACGAUAAAUAGCCGACCUGGUAGGUUGAGCGGCCACACUAGGGCUGAGACACGUGCCAGACUCCUACGGGAGGUAGCAGUAGGGAAUCUGCGGCAAUGGGGGUAAUCCUGACCGAGCAACGCCGCGUGAGUGAAGAAGGUUUUCGGAUCGUAAAGCUCUGUUGUUAAGGAAGCGGUACUUAACCAGAAAGGGACGGCUAACUACGUGCCAGCAGCCGCGGUAAUAC
rnacentral:rRNA from 1 species